AAAGAACCUGAAACCGUGUACGUACAAGCAGUGGGAGCACGCUUAGGCGUGUGACUGCGUACCUUUUGUAUAAUGGGUCAGCGACUUAUAUUCUGUAGCAAGGUUAACCGAAUAGGGGAGCCGAAGGGAAACCGAGUCUUAACUGGGCGUUAAGUUGCAGGGUAUAGACCCGAAACCCGGUGAUCUAGCCAUGGGCAGGUUGAAGGUUGGGUAACACUAACUGGAGGACCGAACCGACUAAUGUUGAAAAAUUAGCGGAUGACUUGUGGCUGGGGGUGAAAGGCCAAUCAAACCGGGAGAUAGCUGGUUCUCCCCGAAAGCUAUUUAGGUAGCGCCUCGUGAAUUCAUCUCCGGGGGUAGAGCACUGUUUCGGCAAGGGGGUCAUCCCGACUUACCAACCCGAUGCAAACUGCGAAUAC
rnacentral:rRNA from 1 species